CUACGGGUGGCACCAGUGGGGAAUAUUGCACAAUGGGCGCAAGCCUGAUGCAGCCAUGCCGCGUGUAUGAAGAAGGCCUUCGGGUUGUAAAGUACUUUCAGCGGGGAGGAAGGGAGUAAAGUUAAUACCUCUGCUCAUUGACGUUACCCGCAGAAGAAGCACCGGCUAACUCCGUGCCAGCAGCCGCGGUAAUACGGCGGGUGCAAGCGUUAAUCGGAAUUACUGGGCGUAAAGCGCACGCAGGCGGUUUGUUAAGUCAGAUGUGAAAUCCCCGGGCUCAACCUGGGAACUGCAUCUGAUACUGGCAGGCUUGAGUAUCGUAGAGGGGGGUAGAAUUCCAGGUGUAGCGGUGAAAUGCGUAGAGAUCUGGAGGAAUACCGGUGGCGAAGGCGGCCCCCUGGACGAAGACUGACGCUCAGGUGCGAAAGCGUGGGGAGCAAACAGGAUUAGAUACCCUGGUAGUC
rnacentral:rRNA from 1 species